UAGCAUUUGAUUGGUGGUUAACAAACCCUGCACUUCUGCAAUCUGCUCAGCAAAAACCAGCUAAGAACCAGCUUCAGCUGCCUCAAAACUGAUAAGGGGAGACAGUUCAAAAGCUCAGGGUACUGUGUCCAUGAGGCUUCUGCUUCUCCCUACUGGCUGCUUGUAAGCUGUUAAGGGGGGCUACCAGUGACUUUCACAGUCCCCCUUCGGGCCUGACAAUCUGGGUUGUCAGAUUGUCAGGCCCGUUACGUAAUUUGCGAUCAAGCUGGAGGGAUAGAUACUGGUCUUUUGUAUUGGCAGCAGAGGCCCUAGUCACAGCAUUACAGAGACAUUUUGCACAUUGCAUUAUUACCCAAAUAGUACAUAGGAAGAAAAGAGAGAAAAUAAUCCAUUUGACAAUUGUACGGAAAAGGCCAGUAAACCAUGACCCAAGGUCUCGGAAGAGGUCCUCAAAACUAAAGGUGUGAUCAAGAGACACAGCAUGGAAAACAACAGCAACAUUCUUAAUAGCUUGUAAAUCCUUUUCAAUUAAACCAGAGUGAUUAACAUAAAAACAGCAUUUUUCCCCGAUGCAAGCACAAGCCUCCCCUAAUUCAGCAUUCAUGGCAUCUAGCACACAUCUAUUUUGCAAAGUCACUUCUGCUACUUCAUCAAUCUCUCGUUGCAACUUUUGGAAAGCGUCUAUUGAUGCAUUAGCUGUUUUUUCAAGCUCUGCUGAAAUAUUUACAACUGCUCUCUUGAGCUUAGCCACCCCCAACCCAGGAAUGAGUGCACGGACAAAAGGAUGGAAUCCUGUUUGUCUGACAACUAAGGGAUUGGGUCACUGACUAUAAAUCAGUUAGGUAUACCAGGUGAAACUGGCAUCAGU